UACGGAGGGGGUUAGCGNUGUUCGGAAUUACUGGGCGUAAAGCGCGCGUAGGCGGACCAGAAAGUUGGGGGUGAAAUCCCGGGGCUCAACCCCGGAACGGCCUCCAAAACUCCUGGUCUUGAGUUCGAGAGAGGUGAGUGGAAUUCCGAGUGUAGAGGUGAAAUUCGUAGAUAUUCGGAGGAACACCAGUGGCGAAGGCGGCUCACUGGCUCGAUACUGACGCUGAGGUGCGAAAGUGUGGGGAGCAAACAGC
rnacentral:rRNA from 1 species